rnacentral:rRNA from 1 species
AUUGAACGCUAGCGGCAGGCCUAACACAUGCAAGUCGAGCGGAUGAAGGGAGCUUGCUCCUGGAUUCAGCGGCGGACGGGUGAGUAAUGCCUAGGAAUCUGCCUGGUAGUGGGGGAUAACGUCCGGAAACUGGCGCUAAUACCGCAUACGUCCUGAGGGAGAAAGUGGGGGAUCUUCGGACCUCACGCUAUCAGAUGAGCCUAGGUCGGAUUAGCUAGUUGGUGGGGUAAAGGCCUACCAAGGCGACGAUCCGUAACUGGUCUGAGAGGAUGAUCAGUCACACUGGAACUGAGACACGGUCCAGACUCCUACGGGAGGCAGCAGUGGGGAAUAUUGGACAAUGGGCGAAAGCCUGAUCCAGCCAUGCCGCGUGUGUGAAGAAGGUCUUCGGAUUGUAAAGCACUUUAAGUUGGGAGGAAGGGCAGUAAGUUAAUACCUUGCUGUUUUGACGUUACCAACAGAAUAAGCACCGGCUAACUUCGUG